AAGAGGAAGCAGUAGUAGAUGACAACAGAAAGAUUAUUGGUAUCAACAAAUUAAACAAUUUCGAGUUUAAAGACGAAAUUCUCGUAGCUUGGCGCGCUUAUGGUAUGGGAAAGGGAAAAGAGAUCCCAUUGGAAACAACAUCAGAAGAAUAUGGCGGUUCUGAAGAACAUGUCCGGUCAUAAGAUGUAAAAAGCAAACGUUUCAUCUGUUCGCGCAGCAAAGUGGACCAAAGGGGCACUCUUCACAGGCUGUGCAGAGUGAAGUAUUGAAGGAUACAAGAGAGGCUACAUCCGGCGAAGUAGAGGUAAAAGAAGGAUGGGCGCUAAAGCCGAG